rnacentral:rRNA from 1 species
GACGGAGGAUGCAAGCGUUAUCCGGAAUGAUUGGGCGUAAAGCGUCUGCAGGUGGCAGUUCAAGUCUGCUGUCAAAGACCGGGGCUUAACUUCGGAAAGGCAGUGGAAACUGAACAGCUAGAGUAUGGUAGGGGCAGAGGGAAUUCCUGGUGUAGCGGUGAAAUGCGUAGAGAUCAGGAAGAACAUCGGUGGCGAAGGCGCUCUGCUGGACCAUAACUGACACUCAGGGACGAAAGCUAGGGGAGC